rnacentral:rRNA from 1 species
UACGAAGGGGGCUAGCGUUGCUCGGAAUCACUGGGCGUAAAGCGCACGUAGGCGGAUUGUUAAGUCAGGGGUGAAAUCCUGGAGCUCAACUCCAGAACUGCCUUUGAUACUGGCGAUCUUGAGUCCGGGAGAGGUGAGUGGAACUGCGAGUGUAGAGGUGAAAUUCGUAGAUAUUCGCAAGAACACCAGUGGCGAAGGCGGCUC